rnacentral:rRNA from 1 species
AGAGUUUGAUCCUGGCUCAGGAUGAACGCUAGCGGCAGGCAUAAUACAUGCAAGUUGAACGGGAUUGAGAUAGCAAUAUUUCAUGAGAGUGGCGCACGGGUGCGUAACACGUAUGCAACCUGCCUCUAACUGGGGAAUAGCCCUGCGAAAGUAGGAUUAAUACCCCAUAAGAUAGUGUACUGGCAUCAGUAAGCUAUUAAAGCUCCGGCGGUUAGAGAUGGGCAUGCGGCUGAUUAGCUAGUUGGUGAGGUAAUGGCUCACCAAGGCGACGAUCAGUAGGGGGUUUGAGAGGAUGUCCCCCCACACUGGUACUGAGACACGGACCAGACUCCUACGGGAGGCAGCAGUAGGGAAUAUUGGUCAAUGGGCGCAAGCCUGAACCAGCCAUGCCGCGUGCAGGAAGACUGCCCUAUGGGUUGUAAACUGCUUUUGUUAGGGAAGAAACCCUUCUACGUGUAGAAGGCUGACGGUACCUAAAGAAUAAGGAUCGGCUAACUUCGUGCCAGCAGCCGCGGUAAGACGAAGGAUCCAAGCGUUGUCCGGAUUUACUGGGUUUAAAGGGUGCGUAGGCGGAUAAAUAAGUCAGAGGUGAAAGCCUGCAGCUCAACCGUAGAAUUGCCUUUGAAACUGUUUAUCUAGAGUACACUUGAGGUGGCUGGAAUAUAUCAUGUAGCGGUGAAAUGCUUAGAUAUGAUAUAGAACACCAAUUGCGAAGGCAAGUCACUAAGAUGUAACUGACGCUGAGGCACGAAAGCGUGGGUAGCAAACAGGAUUAGAUACCCUGGUAGUCCACGCUGUAAACUUUGAAUACUCGCUGUUGGCGAUACACUGUCAGCGGCUAAGCGAAAGCGUUAAGUAUUCCACCUGGGGAGUACGAUCGCAAGAUUGAAACUCAAAGGAAUUGACGGGGGCCCGCACAAGCGGAGGAGCAUGUGGUUUAAUUCGAUGAUACGCGAGGAACCUUACCAGGGCUUGAAAGUUAGCGACUGAUGCCGAAAGGUGUCAUCCCUUCGGGGCGCGAAACUAGGUGCUGCAUGGCUGUCGUCAGCUCGUGCCGUGAGGUGUUGGGUUAAGUCCCGCAACGAGCGCAACCCCUAUCUCUAGUUGCCAUCAGGUAAUGCUGGGGACUCUGGAGAGACUGCCUACGUAAGUAGUGAGGAAGGUGGGGACGACGUCAAGUCAUCAUGGCCCUUACGUCCUGGGCUACACACGUGCUACAAUGGCCGGUACAAUGGGUCGCUACCUAGUGAUAGGAUGCCAAUCUCAAAAAGCCGGUCUCAGUUCGGAUCGAAGUCUGCAACUCGACUUCGUGAAGUUGGAUUCGCUAGUAAUCGGAUAUCAGCAAUGAUCCGGUGAAUACGUUCCCGGGCCUUGUACACACCGCCCGUCAAGCCAUGGGAGUUGGGGGUACCUGAAGUCGAUAACCGCAAGGAGUCGCCUAGGGUAAAACCAAUGACUGGGGCUAAGUCGUAACAAGGUA